UACGUAGGGGGGCUAGCGUUGUCCGGAAUCAUUGGGCGUAAAGAGCGUGUAGGCGGUCCGGUAAGUCCGCUGUGAAAGUCGGGGGGCUCAACCCUCGAAUGCCGGUGGAUACUGUCGGGCUAGAGUGCGGAAGAGGCGAGUGGAAUUCCUGGUGUAGCGGUGAAAUGCGCAGAUAUCAGGAGGAACACCUAUUGCGAAGGCAGCUCGCUGGGGACGUAAACUGACGCUGAGACGCGAAAAGCGUGGGGGAGCAAAACAGGG
rnacentral:rRNA from 1 species